GUGCUGAAGCAACAAAUGCCCUGCUUCCAGGAAAAGCCUCUAAGCAUCAGGUAACAUCAAAUCGUACCCCAAACCGACACAGGUGGUCAGGUAGAGAAUACCAAGGCGCUUGAGAGAACUCGGGUGAAGGAACUAGGCAAAAUGGUGCCGUAACUUCGGGAGAAGGCACGCUGAUAUGUAGGUGAAGCGACUUGCUCGUGGAGCUGAAAUCAGUCGAAGAUACCAGCUGGCUGCAACUGUUUAUUAAAAACACAGCACUGUGCAAACACGAAAGUGGACGUAUACGGUGUGACGCCUGCCCGGUGCCGGAAGGUUAAUUGAUGGGGUUAGCGGUAACGCGAAGCUCUUGAUCGAAGCCCCGGUAAACGGCGGCCGUAACUAUAACGGUCCUAAGGUAGCGAAAUUCCUUGUCGGGUAAGUUCCGACCUGCACGAAUGGCGUAAUGAUGGCCAGGCUGUCUCCACCCGAGACUCAGUGAAAUUGAACUCGCUGUGAAGAUGCAGUGUACCCGCGGCAAGACGGAAAGACCCCGUGAACCUUUACUAUAGCUUGACACUGAACAUUGAGCCUUGAUGUGUAGGAUAGGUGGGAGGCUUUGAAGUGUGGACGCCAGUCUGCAUGGAGCCGACCUUGAAAUACCACCCUUUAAUGUUUGAUGUUCUAACGUUGGCCCGUUAUCCGGGUUGCGGACAGUGUCUGGUGGGUAGUUUGACUGGGGCGGUCUCCUCCUAAAGAGUAACGGAGGAGCACGAAGGUUGGCUAAUCCUGGUCGGACAUCAGGAGGUUAGUGCAAUGGCAUAAGCCAGCUUGACUGCGAGCGUGACGGCGCGAGCAGGUGCGAAAGCAGGUCAUAGUGAUCCGGUGGUUCUGAAUGGAAGGGCCAUCGCUCAACGGAUAAAAGGUACUCCGGGGAUAACAGGCUGAUACCGCCCAAGAGUUCAUAUCGACGGCGGUGUUUGGCACCUCGAUGUCGGCUCAUCACAUCCUGGGGCUGAAGUAGGUCCCAAGGGUAUGGCUGUUCGCCAUUUAAAGUGGUACGCGAGCUGGGUUUAGAACGUCGUGAGACAGUUCGGUCCCUAUCUGCCGUGGGCGCUGGAGAACUGAGGGGGGCUGCUCCUAGUACGAGAGGACCGGAGUGGACGCAUCACUGGUGUUCGGGUUGUCAUGCCAAUGGCACUGCCCGGUAGCUAAAUGCGGAAGAGAUAAGUGCUGAAAGCAUCUAAGCACGAAACUUGCCCCG
rnacentral:rRNA from 1 species